AACGUAGGUGACAAGCGUUAUCCGGAUUUACUGGGCGUAAAGCGCGUUCAGGCGGUUUGGCAAGUCGGGCAUGAAAUCUCCUGGCUCAACCAGGAGGGGCUGUCCGAUACUUCCAGACUUGAGUGCAGGAGAGGAACGCGGAAUUCCAGGUGUAGCGGUGAAAUGCGUAGAUAUCUGGAGGAACACCGGUGGCGAAGGCGGCGUUCUGGACUGCUACUGACACUGAGGAACGAAAGCCAGGGGAGCAAACGGG
rnacentral:rRNA from 1 species